ACUCAAAGGAAUUGACGGGGGCCCGCACAAGCGGUGGAGCAUGUGGUUUAAUUCGAUGAUACGCGAGGAACCUUACCAGGGCUUAAAUGGGAAUUGACGUUAUUGGAAACAGUAAUUUCUUCGGACAAUUUUCAAGGUGCUGCAUGGUUGUCGUCAGCUCGUGCCGUGAGGUGUCAGGUUAAGUCCUAUAACGAGCGCAACCCCUAUCAUUAGUUGCCAGCGGGUUAAGCCGGGAACUCUAAUGAGACUGCCAGUGUAAACUGUGAGGAAGGUGGGGAUGACGUCAAAUCAUCACGGCCCUUACGCCCUGGGCCACACACGUGCUACAAUGGCCGGUACAGAGGGCAGCUACUGGGCGACCAGAUGCGAAUCUCUAAAGCCGGUCUCAGUUCGGAUUGGAGUCUGCAACCCGACUCUAUGAAGCUGGAAUCGCUAGUAAUCGCAUAUCAGCCAUGAUGCGGUGAAUACGUUCCCGGGCCUUGUACACACCGCCCGU
rnacentral:rRNA from 1 species